GCUUACGGCCGUACCACCCUGAGAACGCCCGAUCUCGUCUGAUCUCGGAAGCUAAGCAGGGUCGGGCCUGGUUAGUACUUGGAUGGGAGACCGCCUGGGAAUACCAGGUGCUGUAAGCU
ensembl:rRNA 5S_rRNA 5S ribosomal RNA